rnacentral:rRNA from 1 species
CCUACGGGUGGCAGCAGUGAGGAAUAUUGGUCAAUGGACGAGAGUCUGAACCAGCCAAGUAGCGUGAAGGAUGACUGCCCUAUGGGUUGUAAACUUCUUUUAUAAAGGAAUAAAACGAGGUACGUGUGCCUUUUUGCAUGUACUUUAUGAAUAAGGAUCGGCUAACUCCGUGCCAGCAGCCGCGGUAAUACGGAGGAUCCGAGCGUUAUCCGGAUGUAUUGGGUUUAAGGGGAGCGUAGAUGGGUUGUUAAGUCAGUUGUGAAAGGUUGCGGCUCAACCGGAAAAUUGCAAUGGAUACUGGCAGUCUUGAGGACAGUUGAGGUAGGCGGAAUUCGUGGUGUAGCGGUGAAAUGCUUAGAUAGCACGAAGAACCCCGAUUGCGAAGGCAGCUUACUAAACUGUGACUGACAUUGAUGCUCGAAAGUGUGGGUAUCAAACAGGAGUAGAUACCCGGGUAGUC